CACUCAAAAUGGUACCGCCCGGCAAACCCAGGCCGCGUAACCAUGACGACGAGACCUUUGGACCCUGUUUUAUGGAGAUAUCACGAAUCGAUUUACAUCGAACUAGUGUCUGGCAGUGGAAAAUAAACGUGUUCAGCCAAACACCGAUAUAAAGUUCAAUAUUAAAUCAGUCGAAACAUCAAUCCCUGCUCCCAUGGUCAGGUGGCUUAAACUUCCUGCACGGAUUUACUGUGGCAGUGCAAUGAUAGGAAGAGAUGGCAGGAAGAGAUUUGCAAAUCCUUUCUUCAAGAUCACAGAGGAUAAGCAGAAGAACCCUGUUGAUUAUUCCAGUCUAUCUGCUAUUGUGAUAUUGCAAAAGAGCUGUACAACAUCUCCACUGUGGAAUGUCGAUAAUAUUUGGAUAAUCAGGAGUUGAAUUUAGCUCAGAAAAUAAUUCCACCCAUUCCUCAGCAUCGACAUCCAUUUGCGGAAUUUUCCGUGGAAAAACUUCAACUUGAUUUGAGUCUGCAAACGCCUGGAGAAACAGGGAACUGCAGCCGAUGUUUU